rnacentral:ncRNA from 2 species
CCCCACAGACAGGGGAGCGCCGCCAGGCGCUGAGAGUGCGCCUAGGCGCAGACCCUCGGACCUGAUCCGGUUAGCACCGGCGUAGGGAGUCGGGAUCUCCUCGGC